rnacentral:rRNA from 1 species
CCUACGGGAUGCAGCAGUAGGGAAUCUUCGGCAAUGGACGAAAGUCUGACCGAGCAACGCCGCGUGAGUGAGGAAGGUUUUCGGAACGUAAAACUCUGUUGGUAGAGAAGAACGUUGGUGAGAGUGGAAAGCUCAUCAAGUGACGGUAACUACCCAGAAAGGGACGGCUAACUACGUGCCAGCAGCCGCGGUAAUACGUAGGUCCCGAGCGUUGUCCGGAUUUAUUGGGCGUAAAGCGAGCGCAGGUGGUUUAUUAAGUCUGGUGUAAAAGGCAGUGGCUCAACCAUUGUAUGCAUCGGAAACUGGUAGACUUGAGUGCAGGAGAGGAGAGUGGAAUUCCAUGUGUAGCGGUGAAAUGCGUAGGUAUAUGGAGGAACACCGGUGGCGAAAGCGGCUCUCUGGCCUGUAACUGACACUGAGGCUCGAAAGCGUGGGGAGCAAGCAGGAUUAGAUACCCGUGUAGUC